CUGUGUUGCCCCUCUACCACCUCCUCCUCCCUCUCCAGGUCUCCUCCUGUCUUUACUGUGUUGCCCCUCUACCACCUCCUCCUCCCUCUCCAGGUCUCCUCCUGUCUUUACUGUGCUGCUGUCCUCUCCAGGUCUCCUCCUGUUUUUACUGUGUUGCCCCUCUACCACCUCCUCCUCCCUCUCCAGGUCUCCUCCUGUCUUUACUGUGUUGCCCCUCUACCACCUCCUCCUCCCUCUCCAGGUCUCCUCCUGUCUUUACUGUGUUGCCCCUCUACCACCUCCUCCUCCCUCUCCAGGUCUCCUCCUGUCUUUACUGUGUGGCCCCUCUACCACCUCCUCCUCCCUCUCCAGGUCUCCUCCUGUCUUUACUGUGUUGCCCCUCUACCACCUCCUCCUCCCUCUCCAGGUCUCCUCCUGUCUUUACUGUGUUGCCCCUCUACCACCUCCUCCUCCCUCUCCAGGUCUCCUCCUGUCUUUACUGUGCUGCUGUCCUCUCCAGGUCUCCUCCUGUCUUUACUGUGUUGCCCCUCUACCACCUCCUCCUCCCUCUCCAGGUCUCCUCCUGUCUUUACUGUGCUGCUGUCCUCUCCAGGUCUCCUCCUGUCUUUACUGUGUUGCCCCUCUACCACCUCCUCCUCCCUCUCCAGGUCUCCUCCUGUCUUUACUGUGCUGCUGUCCUCUCCAGGUCUCCUCCUGUCUUUACUGUGUUGCCCCUCUACCACCUCCUCCUCCCUCUCCAGGUCUCCUCCUGUCUUUACUGUGUUGCCCCUCUACCACCUCCUCCUCCCUCUCCAGGUCUCCUCCUGUCUUUACUGUGUUGCCCCUCUACCAC